rnacentral:rRNA from 1 species
CGCCACAGCCAUUUCACCCUGCAGCCCAAGACUGGUUGCCCACUGAAGCUAAGCAGAGUUGAGCCUGGUCAGUACCUGGAUGGGAGACCUCCUGGGAAAACUAGGUUGCUGUUGGAA